GUGAGGAAUUUUGCGCAAUGGGGGAAACCCUGACGCAGCAACGCCGCGUGGGUGAAGAAGGCCUUCGGGUCGUAAAGCCCUGUCAGGUGGGAAGAACGGUCCUUGAGCGAACAGUUCGGGGAUUUGACGGUACCACCAGAGGAAGCACCGGCUAACUCCGUGCCAGCAGCCGCGGUAAUACGGAGGGUGCGAGCGUUGUUCGGAAUCAUUGGGCGUAAAGGGCGUGUAGGCGGCUGGGUAAGUCUGAUGUGAAAGCCCGGGGCUCAACCCUGGAAGUGCAUUGGAGACUGCUCGGCUUGAGUACUGGAGAGGAUGGGGGAAUUCCCGGUGUAGAGGUGAAAUUCGUAGAGAUCGGGAGGAAUACCAGUGGCGAAGGCGCCCAUCUGGACGGAUACUGACGCUGAGACGCGAAAGCGUGGGGAGCAAACAGGAUUAGAUACCCGGGUAGUCC
rnacentral:rRNA from 1 species